rnacentral:lncRNA from 1 species
UUUGAAAGCCCCCAUAAUUACCAUUCAUGACUUGCACUUUGAUUUGUUUAGCAAAAACAAGGGAUGUCCACUUCCACUCUCCUCAUAGGCCAGAUAAUAGCACUUCAAGAACAACUAGCCGGGUUCAUUCUCAAUCAAGUUGUCAAUCAAGAGGGGAGUACUGCUUGAUUAGGAGUGAUUAAGUAUCUUGUUGUUUGUGAACUGAUUGGAUCUGUGGACUUGUGGUUUGUGAACUG